CGUAGGGAGCAAGCGUUGUCCGGAUUUAUUGGGCGUAAAGAGCUCGUAGGCGGUUCAGUAAGUCGGGUGUGAAACCUCCAGGCUCAACCUGGAGACGCCACCCGAUACUGCUGUGACUGGAGUCCGGUAGGGGAGCGUGGAAUUCCUGGUGUAGCGGUGAAAUGCGCAGAUAUCAGGAGGAACACCAGCGGCGAAGGCGGCGCUCUGGGCCGGUACUGACGCUGAGGAGCGAAAGCGUGGGUAGCAAACAGGAUUAGAUACCCUGGUAGUCCACGCCGUAAACGUUGGGCACUAGGUGUGGGUCUCAACCAACGGGAUCUGUGCCGUAGCUAACGCAUUAAGUGCCCCGCCUGGGGAGUACGGCCGCAAGGCUA
rnacentral:rRNA from 1 species